GCUGCAGUUCUAGGUCACAUGUUCUCAGAGGGCCUCGUUGGGUGGAGACAGAAAGAGGAGCUGCAGCUCAGACUGGAAUUCAGCUGAACUGGAGCCAGCAGGGUCAUAUGCUGACUUCUAGAUUACAGAUUGAGAUUAGACUAAAGACUGAUAAACUGCUGGUUCCUGAGACCACAGCAUCCUCUGAUGUUUGGUCCAAGGGUCAGAGCUCACCAGUGUGUGAACGUAUGAAUAAAUGGUAAAGGGUGACAGGAAUGAUGGUGUUUUAUUUGUGCUUUAACCCUUUAACGGGGGGCGGGCCACAGCAGCACAUCUCUGCUCUGAACAGGAACUAAACCAUAUGGAGGCGUUCCAUUUUCACACCCUUGUGGAGUUUUCCAUUACUGUCCUGACUUUUACCUCGCAUUAAAACAUGUUCUUAAACUCCUCCCCCUUUAACUCUUUGGUUUUUAACCCAACUUUAUUUACCAAAACUCCCAAAACAUUAAAGUAAAAUGAACCCUUCGUUAAAAUGCUGAAAGGAAGACAUGUUAGAAAUAAUCAACAGAUUAAAACAAUAAGGUAAUCCAGGUUUAAGUUAAACAUUCUGAGGUUUGAAUAAAAACUUUCAACAUUUUGAAUGAAGUAUUUGUUUUUUCUAGUUGAGGCCAAUAAAGGGUUAAUCCUCCUGCUUCUCUCUGUCCUCCCACUCCUCCUGCUGCUGAAGCCACGCCCCUUUACACCUCUUGAGGAGCUGGGGGGGUCAGUCUGUCACACACACACACUGUCACACACAUACACAGACACACACACUCCUGGAGUCCAGCACGCUCGGGUGUGAUGACCCAGUCAGAGCUAGCUCCAGGAGGACCUCCGCCUGCUUCUCUGGACGUUAGAACAAGUCAAACACCAGGAGAAAUCUCAGGAAGCUUCUGUCCUACAAACUUGUUUAGUUUUGUUAAUGUUUAAUGAUUAUUUUAACAAGAUGAGCUUGAAGAGGAAAACGUCUGGGCUGGUCAUCAGCUGGCAGAGGUCCUUCUCCAUCCUGGCUCCAUGGAGGAGAGGAAGAGGAGGCAGGGAUGCAGUCCUGGAAAGUGAAGUGGUCCUGACCAAAAUGAAGAUCUUCAACAACUUCUGUGAAAAUGACUCCAUCUCCACAGGGUCAGCUUCUGAACAUGACAUGACAGAGUCCACCAGAACAUCUGAGGCAAAUCCUCACGUCCAAGAAAAGCCUCAGACCGAGUCCGGAUCAGACUACCUGUCGGUCAUCUUUUCAUCCUCUCAGCUUCCGAGGUUGUUCAAGUUUGAAUCUGAGGACUCUGGAGUUGAACUUCCCAGUGGAGCUAAUUCUCCAUCCACCCCGACGGGCUCGGAGCAGAGCUUUGUGGUCCACAGCCGAGAGUCCUCUUGUGAUUCCUGUAACAUGAACCCUGAACCUUCUUGUUCUCCUGAUAAACUGGUUAUAAACACGCAGAACUCCUCUGAUGAAGGUUCAAACAACUUAGAAAACGACCCAAAUGUGACGGAGAAGACUCGGAACGAGUUCAGCGGCAACCUGGACCAGAGCGGAGCUUCAGGUGAUGGAGAAAAAAAGGGACAAUCUGAGGAGACUACAUCUCCGACUGCAAGGAGUCGCUCUGAGAACGAGAAGUUUCUGGAGGAAUUCUCAACGAGGAUGAAUGAAGAUGACAAGUCGGAGUCUGUGAGGCGGAGCGCCACCAGAGACAGUCUGGAGGACUACAUGGAGGAAUGCUGCAGGAUCAGUCAGGCAGUGCAGCAGACUUCCAGUCCUCUGGGCUCCGGUUUGGGAUACCUGGAGCACAUUUGCCAGCUUCUGGAGAAAAUUGGCCACCUGCAGGAGUUGAACCUGCAACUGCAAAGGCAGGUCUGUGGCCUGCAGAAGGACGGCAGGAUGACGAAGACUAAAGAGGACUUUUUCCAGCAGCACUGCAGCUGCGGCGCCGCCACCUUAGCCUUCCAGGUCCGGCUGUCUAGAGGAGACUUGGCCCAAAGUGGACACGUCUCUGAUCUGUCCACCAUCCCAGAAGUCAGCCGGCACCCGCUGUCGUCGACAGGUGUGAUCGGUGAGCAUUCAGCCACCAGCUCACUGAGGAGGAAACGUCUGGGUGGAUGGAGUAGUUCUGAGGGGGAGGACGGAUCCCUCUGGGACAACAUGGAAGCAUCAUUCCUCUCCCAGCGCAGGCUGGGUGAGAACUACACCUGGGGUCGGGUUAAGGACAUCAUGAAGAAAACUAAAUUAAGGAAUCAGAGCAGGCUGGGAAUGACCUCCGCCUCACUGAAGAUGUCCUGUCCACAGCUCUACAGGCCUGAUCUGGAUCCAGAAGAAGCUGCUGGUAGAAACAGGAAGUCCAUGAUCGCUUUGAGCUCCCAGCACAAACUGGACUUUUGGAUCGAGUGAAAAUGCAGACUAAUGGAUGAAGAGACAGUGAACUGAUUAGUUGAGACUUUAAUGAUGAAGAAGGAACAAAGUGGAGGAGGUUAAAGAUGGAGGUCAGAGUGAGUCGGGCCAUCAGACCUGGUCUGGUUUUAUUACAACAGGAUGAGUUAAGCAGGCCACCUCUGGAUUUAAGUAUUUUCUGGUGUUACUCAUUUAAUCAAAGUUACCAAUAAUAUGCUGAAAUUGUCAUGUGAGCAAUGCACACGAUACACGUUUACACCUGUAGACGGGCAGCGUCUGGGCGGAGCCUUUAUCCACAAAAUGAAGUCUCUCUUUGUUGUAAAGAAUUUGACCAAAUGUGAAAAAUGUGAAGUACAAAGUAUAUUAUUAAUAAACCAAACAUGAACUAUAAUGUACAUAAUUAAUGAUCUAACUGUUAAUAACUGAUUUAAAUCAAUUUUCUGUCAAAAAAAGUGGCAUCUUGGCUCUCAG
ensembl:lncRNA